rnacentral:lncRNA from 1 species
AAGUUCGGUGACUUCUACCUGGAUCAUUAGUUUUCUAUAGGCCACUUUUAAGCUCUCUCAAUUCAUGAAAAAAAUAUUGCCAUUACAGAUUUUAUCUCUCUAAUUUUAUUAGUACAUAGUAUUCUGUUAUGAUCUGCCAUAAGUGACGUAAAUGGGACCCAAUCCCUGGUGAUUUGACUUCCUGAUGGUUCUACUUUAGGUCGUGCACAGCUAAUGUACAUGUAGCAGAAACUAUACUUGGGAUUUUGACAUUUUUUGUCAGGUUAGCUCUCCCAACCCCUGAUGCUGAGCUAUUAUAGGUAGCUACACCUUAUUCCCAUUCAGCUGCCUGAUUAUACUAAAAAUAAUCAACACAGUAUACCACACUGUUGCUAGGCUAUGAUGUACAACAGAAUGGGGUCUUUAAAUUUGUUUUCAGUAAAUUAUUCUUUUAACUUACAUUGUUUUUUAUUGCUCUAUAUCCCACUUGUAUUUGAGAAGCAUUUGUAACAAUAAUAUUAGUUUCCUCAAGCACUGUUGUAAUUUUUCUACAUGUAUAAAUAUGAUCCCCAGUUAAUAUCUCGUGAUUCCUAUUAGGAGUAUCAUACUAAGUCACAAAAAGACUUUAGAUUAAAAUAUUAUGGAAACAAGGUUUCUUUUUUUAACAAAAGAUAGAUGCUUUUGUAUUAUUACUAAAACCUCCAGGUUUGAGGAGAGAGUUAUAGAUGGUCAAGGAGCACUUCACUGGGCUUCUAGCUUUUAAGCUGAAAUUCUCGUCAGUUUGGAGGAAAUAGCUGCACUUUGAGCUUGCUAGUUCCACUUCAAAAUAGUGUUAUGUCCUAAGCACCAUUCUCUUUACAAAGAACCAUUCAUACACAAUGUGGCAAUUAGUGAGCAGAGCACAUUAUGAUCCUUACUGCUUCAUAAAUUCCAUGUGUAAAAUAAGAGAUACUGAAGGAAACAAAAGGCUGGUGGCUUCCUCAGAUAUUUUGCCUUAUGCCUUUGAACCUCAGACACACAAAGAGACGGAAAUAGUAGUUAUUUUUAUUUUAUUUCAAUAUGAGAUAAUCUGUAUGUAGAUGAUGACUUUUAAAUGCUCAUCCCCCUAAUGAUAUCUGAUUUUACAUUGAAGCAACCGUAUUUGCAGUACAUACUUCAGGUUACAGUUGGGUGUAUUGUGGAGAUACUGAACAGUAUUGCACUGGUGAACAUUUGAACAAUUCUUUUUAUUUCUUUCCCAGAAUUCAAGCUGCUAACCACAUAGAGCUUAAAAGAGUUGCUGACGAAAAGUCAUUAAUUCUAACAUGAGCUCUCAUUUUGCUGAAAAAGUCCCAAGAAGAUGUCAUCAUUUAUCUUCAUUAAAUGCAUAUACAUUUAAAAUGCUAUCUAACCAUUAAUAUUUUAAUUCUACCUGUUGGAAAUAUAUUUCUGCAUGAUAGAUACCAUGCCUUUAUUGAUCUAUAUUAUAAUAGGCUUUACAUUCAGUUGGUCAUUGAGUGACUCAAAGAAUAAGCUUGUAAUAUUAGCCUCUGUUGAGAGUGUGAACUGAAAGCAAAUUUAAAAUGAUUUUCCAAGGCUCACCCAUAUGAAUAGGCACAUAGCUGAUAGAAAUCUAAAUGAAGACCUACCAACACAAGUCUUCAUGUAAAAGUCUACUUCCAUGUCCAAGGCUGGGUGGUGGAACACUGCUCUCUUCCCUCCUCCACCGUAUGUGUCAAAGCAUCCCUCCCCCCCCCCCCCCCAGAGACUUGCUUGGAGAUACUGAAUGUGAGAGUAUGAAGUACAAGGGCUGCUUUUACAGUUGAAGGAGUGCAGAGGAGCUGUCACAAGUUUCUCAAAAUUACUUUCCUUAUAACAGAUUUAUUGUUGGUUAGGAAUAGAAGAGGAGUGGAUAAACCUACCACUUAGCUUCACACGUUUCAACUUCCAUAUCCUUCCCCAGAAGAUGCUUCUACUCAUGACAGGACUGGUUUAUAAAUAAUUAUCUAUAUAGAAAUAUUUCUUCAAAAAUUUUCAGGAGUUUCACUUCAUUUACUUACUCUCUCAAAACGCCUUUUUGAUUCACUAACACUUUUGCAUCACUUAUUUAUAUCAUUUUUAUUCUUUGAACAUUUCAUGCAUAUAUAUAAUAAAAUAUGAUAAUAUCCAUAUCCCAUGUCCUCUCCCCGAGUGUCCCAUAACUUCCAGUACAUCCCAAUCUCAUGGCUUCCUUUGUAAAUGUUGAAAGGAGAAAGAAAAUAUGAUACUAAUAAAAGACCUAUCAUGUUGCUGGCCUAGAUCAUACAUCAGUUUGUUAUCCAAAUGCAUCACUAAGAAUCUUUUGGCUUUCACUAGUUAUAGUACCAAAUAGCUGAUAUAAUUAACUUGUGGAGAGAAAGGGUAUACCUUUCUUGUUUUAGAGAUUUUUUUUGACCAAUGAGAAAGCAGAAUCAUUGCUUAUAGAUCUUAGAAGGAAUUGGAGGAACACACACAGUAGAAAGACAUUCUUCACUUCAUUAGCUUUGAAACAGGAUACCUGGACUGCUAUACUGAUUGCCCAGGCAAUUCUGUCUCCCAAAGUUUCUACCUUCUUCCAGUAACAAUCUGUGCAAGAAAUAGAGUUUAGCCCAUGAGUGUUUUGGGGACACUUAUAUAAACCAUAGUGAUUUUUUUUCAAAAAAAAAAUUCUCUAUAUACCCCUGACUGCCCUGCAACUUGCUCUGGAGACCAGGCUGGCCUCAGACUUAUAGAGGUCCACCCACCUCUUCUUACCAAGUGCUGGGAUAAAAGGUAAAUAUGCUACUACCAACUGAAUCAAAGUGAUCUUUUAAUGACAUUAGAUAAUGGUUUUUAAAUCACAAAAUCCAAGAGUAUAAUUAAAUUUGUAUUAAAUUAAACUAAACCUAAGGAUUCCAUCCCUUUAAAAAUAGAUGCUCUCCUAGAGCCCCCUUCAUCUACAAUUAGCCUAUUAAAUCGCACUGCUUUGUUUUUAAAAACGAAAAGGAAAGCAUUUCAAAUGCCUCUAUAAAAAUACCACACGUGUUGAAAUGUCUAAAUUCUUGGCAUUCAAUUGAUUCCUUGAUUAGGUAGUCUUCGAGAGGUUUCACAUGUUUCAGAUAAUCACAAUUCCUGUCAAGUGAAUAACGGCUUCACUGUAGCCUUUAUCCUGGUUCUUUCCCAUGACGGUGUGGGGCUUUCCCCAUGAAUAAUUCUUCUCUCCAUUGUGCCUUCCCUGUCCAGCUUGCUUGUCAGAAAUCUGUAGCCCUGAGUGAUAUCCAGAAGACGCCCCCCUCAAAGUUUCUUUAAGAUAAUUUUUAACUACGUUUAUUCCCUUUGAGUUUGAAUUUGCCAAAAUCUUGGUUUUUCAAAUAAAGAAGAGACAACAUCUGGGGUGGUUCCAUAUCAAAUACACUUAGAAUGGUUACCAUUUUCACACAAAGUUUGUGUUUUAGAUAUUUGAAUAUCUUCCAUCACCAUCUCUUACAAGAAAAAAGAAGUUUGCCUGUGGUAAAGGUUUGUUUUCCUCCUGAGAUAUAUGCGUGUUAUGACAUGUACUCAGAGC